AAAUGCAUCCGUCCUGUAUAUAGCCAACUUACCCAAUCAUAUCUGAUCUCAGAAGCUAAGCAAGGUCAGGCCUGGUUAGUACUUGGGUGGCAGAAAUACUAAUUCAAGUCUGGUGAGUGCAUUUU
rnacentral:rRNA from 1 species